UACGUAGGGGGCUAGCGUUGCUCGGAAUCACUGGGCGUAAAGGGUGCGUAGGCGGGUUUUUAAGUCAGGGGUGAAAUCCUGGAGCUCAACUCCAGAACUGCCUUUGAUACUGAAGAUCUUUGAGUCCGGGAGAGGUGAGUGGAACUGCGAGUGUAGAGGUGAAAUUCGUAGAUAUUCGCAAGAACACCAGUGGCGAAGGCGGCUCACUGGCCCGGUACUGACGCUGAGGCACGAAAGCGUGGGGAGCAAACAGG
rnacentral:rRNA from 1 species